rnacentral:lncRNA from 1 species
GGCAUACAAGAGGUGAGGGAUAAAGAAUAAGACCACAAUGGAGUUCCUCUCUUAAGAUCAUAUUGAUGAUCCAAGUAGCUCCCAUCCUUUGGAAUAAGCAAUCACAUAAGCAUAAACUCACACAAUCAACAAUCAAAUGAACUCUUGGAAGAUCCCCUCUCUCUUAGAAGCUCAUGGCAAUGGUUCCUCAAUUUAGCUCAAUGUUGG